UAGGAAUUAACAUAUUUCUUCAGUACUGUUGCAUUAAUCAUAUAUUGUUUAACACUUGCAGAACAGUUUCCUUUAGAAACUUGCGUACCAGUACUUCAACUUAGUGGAUUCAAAUAAUUUCGUUGUGCUUGAACAAAAUUAGUUGUUUGUAACGUUUAACUGCCUACCAGAAACAUGUCAUUCAUGACUAGACUGACACGGGAUAUUGUUGAGAGGGCGGAGGCCAAUCAACCCCUAUCGACUACAAUACCGUCGAAAAGGAAAACAUUAACAACUGUUAUACCUCCGCCCAAGGAGGAAUUUGCAGAAUAUAUUCGGAGCAGAUUGGAGGAAACCCCCGGCCGAGAGUGUGAGACUCCAGGAGUG